UAGCUGUCAUGAAGUUGGAAUCUACAUAAUUCCGACCAAGAGAGGUGGUAAAGCAUGUUCUCCAGACAGCUGCAGCAUCAUUGCAAAAGAUUCUUACCUUGGAAGGAAAUGUGGCAGAUGAAGUUCCGAUUGAGGUCAUAGGAGAUGUGCUAAGAAUUCGACAAAUUCUCACCAAGUUGAUCAGCAAUGCUAUCAAGUUUACGCAUGAAGGGAAGGUAGGGGUAAAACUUUAUGUAGUACUAAAGCCGCCUUUUGCGAAAGAAACAUCUCAGCCUGUAUCUAUGGAUCAACUACUAUUAAACCUAAAGCUAAUGUAUCCAAAGAGAGACAUGUACAUCAAUGCCUCAAACUAGCAGUGAUCAGAGAGGAUUCCAUGGUAAGAAACACGAAGGUUCUUGCCAAAACUAUUCACAAAGUGAAUCUGGUACUCUAGUAAGGAAUGGAACAAUAGAUGCAUCCGAGGAACAAGCAAAGUUACCUAAAACAACAGUGUGGAUAAGCUGUUAUGUAUAUUGCACUGGGAUCCAAAUACCAGGUACACGUUUGUAUGCUUG